rnacentral:rRNA from 1 species
UACGUAGGGGGCAAGCGUUGUCCGGAUUUAUUGGGCGUAAAGGGCGUGUAGGCGGCCAGGUAGGUCUGCUGUGAAAACUCGAGGCUUAACCUCGAGCUGUCGGCGGAAACCAUCUGGCUAGAGUCCGGAAGAGGAGAAUGGAAUUCCCGGUGUAGCGGUGAAAUGCGCAGAUAUCAUGUGGAACGCCAAUGGUGAAAACAGGUAACUGGGAGUGUGCUGACGCUGAGACACGAAAGCUAGGGGAGCAAACGGG